UCCACCCCCCCUUCCCGGAGUGAUGUCAUCCACUGUCCACAAUUUCACGUACACCGUUCAUCAGUGUAAAUAAAAUUCGCCUUUUUCGUGUGGCUGUAACUGAAAAAACAGCGAGUAAUAAAUAAUGGCAGAUCCGAAAUUCCAAUAUUUGCCUUACAUCGCACACGACCAACCGGACGUCUACGAAACUCCGGACGUGAACGAAGCGGAAACGUCGGACUACGACGAGGACGAGCCGGUGAACGAUGCGAUCGAGCGGCUGCACAUCUCCACCAAGGACUCGAUCGGCAAGUUCCGCGGCAAGUAUCUGACCGGCGAGGUGGACUUUUCCGACGGGAUCGGGCGGAAGAAUCGGCUCGGCUAUGACGCCCGCAGCCUGGACUACGAGCUGGCGGGUGAGGGUGAGCGGGAAACGCCGCUGCAGCGCUGCCACCGGCUGAAGUGCGAAAUGAACGAGCUGAUGGAGGAGAUCGAAGCGUCCCGGGCGGACACGGGCCGCACGGCGGAAGAGAAAGCUUCCCACGAGACGGUGUUCGGGGUGGUCAGCACGGCCAAGAAGGUGCUGGAAAGCCUGAAGCUGGAGCAGGUGAUCGGCAGCGAGGUGGUGGCCGGUGGUGCUGGCGGGGGCGAUGCGGAAGCGAAGAAACUGAUUGCGCAGAUCGAGGAGUACAGGAAGACGGGCGCGGUGUCGAGCAGCGAUCCGAAGGCGGUCGCGAACGAGCUGGUGCAGAGUGCGCGCGUGGCACAGCUGGAACAUCGGCUGCACCAGCUGGAGGUGGCGGUGGGUGCGAAACCGGAACGCAUCAGCCGGCUGGCGGGCACGACCGGGACGGGCAAUUUGAUCGAGGCUGUGCAAAACAUAUCGGCCAAGGCGGCACUGCUGCAACCGUCCCAGCUGGACACGAUCGAGCAGCGGCUGAACAAUCUGCUGCAGCAGAUGAACAGCAUACAGGAGAAAUCGAACGCCACGGGGCAAGAUCCGAACCGGGAGCAGAAGAUCUUGGAGCUUUAUGAAAUCGCAAAAAGCACCGAACCGAUCGUACAGGUCCUGCCCGACAUAUUGAACCGUAUGCUGACGCUGGAAUCGUUGCACAAAUAUGCUACCAACUUUAGCAAGCUGUUCGCGGAGCUGGAAACCACACAAGCCUCCAUCCUGAAUGGGGUGGCCGCCAACAAGACGCUGCUCACCGGCGUGCAGGAAGCAUUCGCGCAGAACCUGGAAAACGUCAACAAGGAGGUGAAGAAGCUCGAGGAACGCAUGACCAAACUGCAGCAGAUGAUUAAGUAGGCUGUGCGUGCCUCCGGUGUAGAAGAUAGUUCAUUCUCUCGUAAGCUGUGUCUGCUGUGUGGUAAGAAUGCUUCGUCACAAUUAUUCCACCCCUCAUACUGCAAUGAUGCUUUGUUUUCGUCCGUGUGAAAAAAAAAACAACUAAAAAACGUGAAUAUUUAUUUAAUCGCAAUCUAUUAAUUUUAAUUACUCAUUGGUCACAAAAUGUUAAAUGAAGCUGCUUUGUGCAGAGUUGAAGAUGACAUUUGUUGAAGAAAUUUAUGAAUAGCGCUUACCAAUUGUGAAUUAAUAUUAACACAAAGGUUUUACGAAAACACCAUCAAGUUGCGUCAAGGUGAAAAUGGUUGAAAAAAAAAUUAAGGAAUCCUUCGAUCGAUUUCCCUUGGCUCUAGAGAAGGCUAUCGGAAUUUUGGGUCAAAAUCUGUAUCGGUAACAAUAUCGAAAUCGCGGUGCCUGCCAGGAAGAAGCAACCGAUUAACCAGUUUGUCUGCACCCUGUGCAAAUUCUUCUUAACGAUAGGAUUCUUCGUGCAUAAUUACAUGUUCCAUUUCUCAUUAACGCCUCAUAAUGAAUCAUUGGACUGUCUGUUCUGCUAGAGGUAAACCAAUUGAUCACGUUCCCAAUGGAAAGGCUACAACCGGCCUAGCUCAACCCAGUUAGAUUUGGGUAAAUCUGAUUCAGAUUCAUGAAUCGGAAUGAAUCUUUGAAAUGAUUCAAUAAAUCUGAAUCUCGGUUGCAAAGAUUGAUGCAUUUCAAAAGAUUUAUAUAAUUCGGAAAAUU